CUGGGAGGACCAUCUCCUAAGGCUAAAUACUCUCUAGUGACCGAUAGUGAACCAGUACCGUGAGGGAAAGGUGAAAAGCACCCCGGAAGGGGAGUGAAAUAGAACCUGAAACCGUGUGCUUACAAGUAGUCAGAGCCCGUUAAUGGGUGAUGGCGUGCCUUUUGUAGAAUGAACCGGCGAGUUACGAUUUGAUGCAAGGUUAAGCAGUAAAUGUGGAGCCGUAGCGAAAGCGAGUCUGAAUAGGGCGUUUAGUAUUUGGUCGUAGACCCGAAACCAGGUGAUCUACCCUUGGUCAGGUUGAAGUUCAGGUAACACUGAAUGGAGGACCGAACCGACUUACGUUGAAAAGUGAGCGGAUGAACUGAGGGUAGCGGAGAAAUUCCAAUCGAACCUGGAGAUAGCUGGUUCUCUCCGAAAUAGCUUUAGGGCUAGCCUCAAGUGAUGAUUAUUGGAGGUAGAGCACUGUUUGGACGAGGGGCCCCUCUCGGGUUACCGAAUUCAGACAAACUCCGAAUGCCAAUUAAUUUAACUUGGGAGUCAGAACAUGGGUGAUAAGGUCCGUGUUCGAAAGGGAAACAGCCCAGACCACCAGCUAAGGUCCCAAAAUAUAUGUUAAGUGGAAAAGGAUGUGGCGUUGCCCAGACAACUAGGAUGUUGGCUUAGAAGCAGCCAUCAUUUAAAGAGUGCGUAAUAGCUCACUAGUCGAGUGACACUGCGCCGAAAAUGUACCGGGGCUAAACAUAUUACCGAAGCUGUGGAUUGUCCUUUGGACAAUGGUAGGAGAGCGUUCUAAGGGCGUUGAAGCAUGAUCGUAAGGACAUGUGGAGCGCUUAGAAGUGAGAAUGCCGGUGUGAGUAGCGAAAGACGGGUGAGAAUCCCGUCCACCGAUUGACUAAGGUUUCCAGAGGAAGGCUCGUCCGCUCUGGGUUAGUCGGGUCCUAAGCUGAGGCCGACAGGCGUAGGCGAUGGAUAACAGGUUGAUAUUCCUGUACCACCUAUAAUC
rnacentral:rRNA from 1 species